AAGGAGGAGAACUGUAAUUAUAGAAAAUGGAAUGAAGUCGGAAGAUUAAAGUUAUUAGUCCAAUGGAAUUUUGUUUAUUAAUUGUUGCUUUGCUUUGCCAAUGUUUAUCAACGAUAGACAUAUAGUUAGCCUCCGAAACUGCAGAACAUAAAGAUAGUUAAGUACUUCUCUAUUUUUCAGUUAGAGAGCUCUCUCAAUUAAAAGCUAGAGGA
rnacentral:misc_RNA from 1 species